AGCGGCGGACGGGUGAGUAACACGUGGGUAACCUGCCCAAGAGACUGGGAUAACACCUGGAAACAGAUGCUAAUACCGGAUAACAACACUAGACGCAUGUCUAGAGUUUGAAAGAUGGUUCUGCUAUCACUCUUGGAUGGACCUGCGGUGCAUUAGCUAGUUGGUAAGGUAACGGCUUACCAAGGCAAUGAUGCAUAGCCGAGUUGAGAGACUGAUCGGCCACAUUGGGACUGAGACACGGCCCAAACUCCUACGGGAGGCAGCAGUAGGGAAUCUUCCACAAUGGACGAAGGUCUGAUGGAGCAACGCCGCGUGAGUGAAGAAGGGUUUCGGCUCGUAAAGCUCUGUUGGUAGUGAAGAAAGAUAGAGGUAGUAACUGGCCUUUAUUUGACGGUAAUUACUUAGAAAGUCGCGGCUAACUACGUGCCAGCAGCCGCGGUAAUACGUAGGUGGCAAGCGUUGUCCGGAUCUAUUGGGCGUAAAGCGAGUGCAGGCGGUUCAAUAAGUCUGAUGUGAAAGCCUUCGGCUCAACCGGAGAAUUGCAUCAGAAACUGUUGAACUUGAGUGCAGAAGAGGAGAGUGGAACUCCAUGUGUAGCGGUGGAAUGCGUAGAUAUAUGGAAGAACACCAGUGGCGAAGGCGGCUCUCUGGUCUGCAACUGACGCUGAGGCUCGAAAGCAUGGGUAGCGAACAGGAUUAGAUACCCUGGUAGUCCAUGCCGUAACGAUGAGUGCUAAGUGU
rnacentral:rRNA from 1 species